UGGUGGCGGGAAGAAGAACAUUCGCAGUUACGCACCGGUCCAUUCAGUGACCGCGGUCGGGAAGGCCGGUUGUCUGUGGGAGAAAGUCCCUGAACCAGUGGCCGAAAGGGUUUGAGACAGUGUUCUGUUCGCUAGAGCUGCCGGUAGGCGGUGCACCCGGACAUGAUGCGGAUGUGUUAGCGCCAUGAUGAGCUAGAAAGCUUGAGUGAUUGCACAUCCGCUGUUCCGGUGUUCGUUCUUAGCAAAGUGACGUUUAGAUUAACAGCAUAGGGCUUACUCUCUCUGUCACC
rnacentral:RNase_MRP_RNA from 1 species